rnacentral:rRNA from 2 species
AUUGGUGCUUGCAUCAUGAUUUACAUUUGAGUGAGUGGCGAACUGGUGAGUAACACGUGGGAAACCUGCCCAGAAGCGGGGGAUAACACCUGGAAACAGAUGCUAAUACCGCAUAACAACUUGGACCGCAUGGUCCGAGCUUGAAAGAUGGCUUCGGCUAUCACUUUUGGAUGGUCCCGCGGCGUAUUAGCUAGAUGGUGGGGUAACGGCUCACCAUGGCAAUGAUACGUAGCCGACCUGAGAGGGUAAUCGGCCACAUUGGGACUGAGACACGGCCCAAACUCCUACGGGAGGCAGCAGUAGGGAAUCUUCCACAAUGGACGAAAGUCUGAUGGAGCAACGCCGCGUGAGUGAAGAAGGGUUUCGGCUCGUAAAACUCUGUUGUUAAAGAAGAACAUAUCUGAGAGUAACUGUUCAGGUAUUGACGGUAUUUAACCAGAAAGCCACGGCUAACUACGUGCCAGCAGCCGCGGUAAUACGUAGGUGGCAAGCGUUGUCCGGAUUUAUUGGGCGUAAAGCGAGCGCAGGCGGUUUUUUAAGUCUGAUGUGAAAGCCUUCGGCUCAACCGAAGAAGUGCAUCGGAAACUGGGAAACUUGAGUGCAGAAGAGGACAGUGGAACUCCAUGUGUAGCGGUGAAAUGCGUAGAUAUAUGGAAGAACACCAGUGGCGAAGGCGGCUGUCUGGUCUGUAACUGACGCUGAGGCUCGAAAGUAUGGGUAGCAAACAGGAUUAGAUACCCUGGUAGUCCAUACCGUAAACGAUGAAUGCUAAGUGUUGGAGGGUUUCCGCCCUUCAGUGCUGCAGCUAACGCAUUAAGCAUUCCGCCUGG